AAGGGGCCAGGAGGGUGAUGGGCCGCACUGUGAGUGGCCCCGGCCCACACGAGCCUGUGGGCAACAGUGGUCCCCCCACCCACCGUGAACUGCCCCAGGUUGUGCCCUGAAGGCCGCUGGUGAUAUACCCAGGACGCCCUGAGAGACUCCGGAGAGCCUGGAAGGCUGUGGAAAGUGCCCUGGGUUUUAUUGUGAACAUGGUAGGAAGACUUGCAAAGAUUUUAAGCAAGAGUAGAGGCCGCUGGACAAUUGGAUUAAGCCAGCCCCGGUGCCACUGUGAUCAGUUGUAGGGAGUGUGUCGGGGCUUCGAGGAGCAGUGACGGAAGGAGGGAGAAGCUGCCGAUGCUGGAGCUAUAGCAGGAGUAGGAGAAGGGACCUGAAGUAAACUCUAGACCCAGUGUGGGGCUUGCACUCACGACCCCGGGAUCCAGAGUCAAAUGCUCUAUGGCUGAGCCAGCCAGACGCCCCGUGUUUGUGUCUUCUUUCCUUCAGUAAACAUUAUUGUGGGAUAGCCUGUGGCUCAAGGCACAGACUCAAGACCCAGAAGGCCUUGGUUUGAAAUCUUGCUCUG